ACGCUGGCGGCGUGCCUAAUACAUGCAAGUCGAGCGAGCUGAAUUCAAAGAUCCCUUCGGGGUGAUUCGUUGGACGCUAGCGGCGGAUGGGUGAGUAACACGUGGGCAAUCUGCCCUAAAGACUGGGAUACCACUUGGAAACAGGUGCUAAUACCGGAUAACAACAUGAAUCGCAUGAUUCAAGUUUGAAAGGCGGCGUAAGCUGUCACUUUAGGAUGAGCCCGCGGCGCAUUAGCUAGUUGGUGGGGUAAGGGCCUACCAAGGCAAUGAUGCGUAGCCGAGUUGAGAGACUGAUCGGCCACAUUGGGACUGAGACACGGCCCAAACUCCUACGGGAGGCAGCAGUAGGGAAUCUUCCACAAUGGACGCAAGUCUGAUGGAGCAACGCCGCGUGAGUGAAGAAGGUUUUCGGAUCGUAAAGCUCUGUUGUUGGUGAAGAAGGAUAGAGGCAGUAACUGGUCUUUAUUUGACGGUAAUCAACCAGAAAGUCACGGCUAACUACGUGCCAGCAGCCGCGGUAAUACGUAGGUGGCAAGCGUUGUCCGGAUUUAUUGGGCGUAAAGCGAGCGCAGGCGGAAUGAUAAGUCUGAUGUGAAAGCCCACGGCUCAACCGUGGAACUGCAUCGGAAACUGUCAUUCUUGAGUGCAGAAGAGGAGAGUGGAACUCCAUGUGUAGCGGUGGAAUGCGUAGAUAUAUGGAAGAACACCAGUGGCGAAGGCGGCUCUCUGGUCUGCAACUGACGCUGAGGCUCGAAAGCAUGGGUAGCGAACAGGAUUAGAUACCCUGGUAGUCCAUGCCGUAAACGAUGAGCGCUAGGUGUUGGGGACUUUCCGGUCCUCAGUGCCGCAGCAAACGCAUUAAGCGCUCCGCCUGGGGAGUACGACCGCAAGGUUGAAACUCAAAGGAAUU
rnacentral:rRNA from 1 species